AAAGCACGCCAGGUCUCCUGCACUGGACAUUUUUGCGCGGGAAAUGAAAGGCGGUCGGUGGUCCGUUGGCUUGGCGUUGAAUACAUGAAAAAUUUUUCAGAUGGGGUUCUUUCCGUUUCCUGCUGGGAAAACCGUUAGAUGCCAUCGUGGAUUGAUGAAUACCGUUGUACUUGAAUAAACAGGAACUCUUAACAGAAGCUUCUUUGUCAGCAGCAUCAGUUUGGGUGCCCG